GCAACCAGACUCUACUCCCAAAAAUGUCAUCAUGUUGACACCCCCAUUGGUAGGACUGGAAGCUUUAGUGAAGUGAAGUGAAGUGAGAGAACUCUGGCCUCAAAGUGAGAUAUUGCCUCAUAAUGAGGGAUUAUUCUAGGGCAUUAUGAUGUGUUACUACUCCAUGAACAUUCAUCAUAACACUGUUAUGAGGGGAUUGGAUGGUUCUAGGUCAGGCGUUCAGAGAGCUAUUCUGAGCAGCAUGUAGGGGCUUGGCAGGAAGGGAGCCCGGCUGAUGCUUCUGCAGGCUGGAACCAGUGGCUUGGUGGGCCAGAUGCAGCCUGCGUUUUGCCUGCCCCUGUUCUAGGUGGCUACUACCUGUGUCUUCCCCAUUUUCUGGAUGUCCAACAUGAAACACCUGAGAACAGAUUUUCAGAAAUGUUGAGCAUUCACAACUGAAUUGAAGUCAAUUGGAGUGGGGCACUGAACACAAAGGCUACGUCUACACUGGCCACAAUUUCCGGAAAAGCCAUGCAAAUCAGAUAGCAAGCAGCGGAGGGACAGCUUUGAAGUGAAAUCUUCUUGAUUGGCAGACAUCAGCACUGGAGCAGACAUUCAGGCAAGCUGGCUUUAUGAGCAAGAAGGAGCAGUUUGAUGACUUGUAAAACAUUUAUAAAGGAAGAAUUUUAAACUUCCAUGGCAACACAUUAGCACAAGUAAAAUUUCUUUGUCAACACAAAAAAUAGCCUUCAAAACUUCGUGAUUUCCUCAAGAACAAGAUAGAAAUGGCUUUGGACUAGAAGAAUUGUGGGAUCUAAGCUGGAAUCAUUUGGCAAACAGAGCAAAGGAAGGAUGGCUCAGUGGUCAAGUCACUGACCUGAGAACUACAAAUUCAAUCCCCUCUUCUGCCCCAGACUUCUUGGGGAUAAACAGCACUUCCUACAACAUCAUAGAGGUUGAUUUGGUCUCUUUAAUGGUCAACAGGAGUCAGCUAGAAGAAUAAGACACAUGCUACCCAUCACUACAUAGUGUGCAGUAGUCAAGUGGGUUCAGAUACCUCCAGGACCACAUUGCCUCCAGACACAAUGAUGUUUUUCCUCUGCCACACACCAUAAGACUAUGGGAAAUAAAGAAGCAGAGAGAAUGAACUGAAGAACACCUAUUUUGUAAGGUCAUCCCUCCAGCUCUUCACCCAUUGCAGACUGAAACACCUCUGGGAGUUAGUCCUGAUUGAAUCAGCAGAUGUGCUCCAGCCCUACAAGGGGAA